rnacentral:rRNA from 1 species
AUUGAACGCUGGCGGCAUGCCUUACACAUGCAAGUCGAACGGUAACAGGUCUUCGGAUGCUGACGAGUGGCGAACGGGUGAGUAAUACAUCGGAACGUGCCCGAUCGUGGGGGAUAACGAGGCGAAAGCUUUGCUAAUACCGCAUACGAUCUACGGAUGAAAGCGGGGGAUCUUCGGACCUCGCGCGGACGGAGCGGCCGAUGGCAGAUUAGGUAGUUGGUGGGAUAAAAGCUCACCAAGCCAACGAUCUGUAGCUGGUCUGAGAGGAUGAUCAGCCACACUGGGACGGAGACACGGCCCAGACGCCUACGGGAGGCAGCAGUGGGGAAUUUUGGACAAUGGGCGAAAGCCUGAUUCAGUCAUGCCGCGUGCAGGAUGAAGGCCUUCGGGUUGUAAACUGCUUUUGUACGGAACGAAAAGACUCUGGUUAAUACCUGGGGUCCAUGACGGUACCGUAAGAAUAAGCACCGGCUAACUACGUGCCAGCAGCCGCGGUAACAC